UACGUAGGGUGCGAGCGUUAAUCGGAAUUACUGGGCGUAAAGCGUGCGCAGGCGGUUUUGUAAGACAGGCGUGAAAUCCCCGGGCUCAACCUGGGAAUGGCGCUUGUGACUGGAUGAGCUAGAGUGCGGCAGAGGGGGGGUGGAAUUCCGCGUGUAGCAGUGAAAUGCGUAGAUAUGCGGAGGAACACCGAUGGCGAAGGCAAUCCCCUGGGCCCGCACUGACGCUCAUGCACGAAAGCGUGGGGAGCGAA
rnacentral:rRNA from 1 species